rnacentral:rRNA from 1 species
UGCAAGUCGAGCGGACAGAUGGGAGCUUGCUCCCUGAUGUUAGCGGCGGACGGGUGAGUAACACGUGGGUAACCUGCCUGUAAGACUGGGAUAACUCCGGGAAACCGGGGCUAAUACCGGAUGGUUGUCUGAACCGCAUGGUUCAGACAUAAAAGGUGGCUUCGGCUACCACUUACAGAUGGACCCGCGGCGCAUUAGCUAGUUGGUGAGGUAACGGCUCACCAAGGCGACGAUGCGUAGCCGACCUGAGAGGGUGAUCGGCCACACUGGGACUGAGACACGGCCCAGACUCCUACGGGAGGCAGCAGUAGGGAAUCUUCCGCAAUGGACGAAAGUCUGACGGAGCAACGCCGCGUGAGUGAUGAAGGUUUUCGGAUCGUAAAGCUCUGUUGUUAGGGAAGAACAAGUGCCGUUCAAAUAGGGCGGCACCUUGACGGUACCUAACCAGAAAGCCACGGCUAACUACGUGCCAGCAGCCGCGGUAAUACGUAGGUGGCAAGCGUUGUCCGGAAUUAUUGGGCGUAAAGGGCUCGCAGGCGGUUUCUUAAGUCUGAUGUGAAAGCCCCCGGCUCAACCGGGGAGGGUCAUUGGAAACUGGGGAACUUGAGUGCAGAAGAGGAGAGUGGAAUUCCACGUGUAGCGGUGAAAUGCGUAGAGAUGUGGAGGAACACCAGUGGCGAAGGCGACUCUCUGGUCUGUAACUGACGCUGAGGAGCGAAAGCGUGGGGAGCGAACAGGAUUAGAUACCCUGGUAGUCCACGCCGUAAACGAUGAGUGCUAAGUGUUAGGGGGUUUCCGCCCCUUAGUGCUGCAGCUAACGCAUUAAGCACUCCGCCUGGGGAGUACGGUCGCAAGACUGAAACUCAAAGGAAUUGACGGGGGCCCGCACAAGCGGUGGAGCAUGUGGUUUAAUUCGAAGCAACGCGAAGAACCUUACCAGGUCUUGACAUCCUCUGACAAUCCUAGAGAUAGGACGUCCCCUUCGGGGGCAGAGUGACAGGUGGUGCAUGGUUGUCGUCAGCUCGUGUCGUGAGAUGUUGGGUUAAGUCCCGCAACGAGCGCAACCCUUGAUCUUAGUUGCCAGCAUUCAGUUGGGCACUCUAAGGUGACUGCCGGUGACAAACCGGAGGAAGGUGGGGAUGACGUCAAAUCAUCAUGCCCCUUAUGACCUGGGCUACACACGUGCUACAAUGGACAGAACAAAGGGCAGCGAAACCGCGAGGUUAAGCCAAUCCCACAAAUCUGUUCUCAGUUCGGAUCGCAGUCUGCAACUCGACUGCGUGAAGCUGGAAUCGCUAGUAAUCGCGGAUCAGCAUGCCG